rnacentral:rRNA from 1 species
UUUAUGGAGAGUUUGAUCCUGGCUCAGGAUGAACGCUGGCGGCGUGCCUAAUACAUGCAAGUCGAGCGAACGGACGAGAAGCUUGCUUCUCUGAUGUUAGCGGCGGACGGGUGAGUAACACGUGGAUAACCUACCUAUAAGACUGGGAUAACUUCGGGAAACCGGAGCUAAUACCGGAUAAUAUUUUGAACCGCAUGGUUCAAAAGUGAAAGACGGUCUUGCUGUCACUUAUAGAUGGAUCCGCGCUGCAUUAGCUAGUUGGUAAGGUAACGGCUUACCAAGGCAACGAUGCAUAGCCGACCUGAGAGGGUGAUCGGCCACACUGGAACUGAGACACGGUCCAGACUCCUACGGGAGGCAGCAGUAGGGAAUCUUCCGCAAUGGGCGAAAGCCUGACGGAGCAACGCCGCGUGAGUGAUGAAGGUCUUCGGAUCGUAAAACUCUGUUAUUAGGGAAGAACAUAUGUGUAAGUAACUGUGCACAUCUUGACGGUACCUAAUCAGAAAGCCACGGCUAACUACGUGCCAGCAGCCGCGGUAAUACGUAGGUGGCAAGCGUUAUCCGGAAUUAUUGGGCGUAAAGCGCGCGUAGGCGGUUUUUUAAGUCUGAUGUGAAAGCCCACGGCUCAACCGUGGAGGGUCAUUGGAAACUGGAAAACUUGAGUGCAGAAGAGGAAAGUGGAAUUCCAUGUGUAGCGGUGAAAUGCGCAGAGAUAUGGAGGAACACCAGUGGCGAAGGCGACUUUCUGGUCUGUAACUGACGCUGAUGUGCGAAAGCGUGGGGAUCAAACAGGAUUAGAUACCCUGGUAGUCCACGCCGUAAACGAUGAGUGCUAAGUGUUAGGGGGUUUCCGCCCCUUAGUGCUGCAGCUAACGCAUUAAGCACUCCGCCUGGGGAGUACGACCGCAAGGUUGAAACUCAAAGGAAUUGACGGGGACCCGCACAAGCGGUGGAGCAUGUGGUUUAAUUCGAAGCAACGCGAAGAACCUUACCAAAUCUUGACAUCCUUUGACAACUCUAGAGAUAGAGCCUUCCCCUUCGGGGGACAAAGUGACAGGUGGUGCAUGGUUGUCGUCAGCUCGUGUCGUGAGAUGUUGGGUUAAGUCCCGCAACGAGCGCAACCCUUAAGCUUAGUUGCCAUCAUUAAGUUGGGCACUCUAAGUUGACUGCCGGUGACAAACCGGAGGAAGGUGGGGAUG